rnacentral:rRNA from 1 species
ACGGGGGCCCGCACAAGCGGUGGAGCAUGUGGUUUAAUUCGAUGCAACGCGAAGAACCUUACCUGGUCUUGACAUCCACAGAAGAAUCCAGAGAUGGAUUUGUGCCUUCGGGAACUGUGAGACAGGUGCUGCAUGGCUGUCGUCAGCUCGUGUUGUGAAAUGUUGGGUUAAGUCCCGCAACGAGCGCAACCCUUAUCCUUUGUUGCCAGCGAUUAGGUCGGGAACUCAAAGGAGACUGCCAGUGAUAAACUGGAGGAAGGUGGGGAUGACGUCAAGUCAUCAUGGCCCUUACGACCA